rnacentral:tRNA from 1 species
GGUGAGAUGGCUCAGUGGUUAAGAGCACUGGCUGCUCCUCCAGAGGUCCUGAGUUCAAAUCCCAGCAACCA